rnacentral:lncRNA from 1 species
AAGAAAUUUUAAGAGGUUUUAACAAGUCUCGUCUCUCUCGGUCGUACUCGGUUGCAAGAGAUCCUCUGAGCUGUUGUUCUGUCCCAACAAUUUCAAGCCAACAUCCAAAUACAGUCAAAUCUUUUUAUUGCAAAUGCCAUUAUAGAAAACUUUUUUAAAUUUAGAAACAUUUUAAAAAUCCUUUUCCAAAUGUCUAUUAGUUUCAAUGCAAAAAUAUUUCAGUACUACGAAUUUCAAAAUACAAAAUAAUUCAGGAUAACGCACAUAAUUUAAAUGCUCUUGUAUGUAAACAACUCCUCAGUUUUGCAAAUUUGUAUAUAAAAGCAAAACAAAAAACAACAAAAAAAAACCUUUGAAAGCAAUUGUGGUUACCAAAAAUACUUUGAAGUUACAGCAACACGCGCAUUUUGGCCUCUUGCCGGCUCCCCAGAUGCCCAACCAUGUACCAACCAUCAUCAUCAUCAAAGAUUGACUCGGGGAAACAAAUGCGCACUAGGCCGAACCGCCUAACUUUGCGUUCCUCUCCUUCAGGCGGGCUGUUCCGCAUCAGUAGGUUGCACAUGUUCCUUGGAAGGUGUGACAAUGUGACCGAGGCUGUCCACAGGAAGGUGGACGACAUUGAAUCGCUUGUCUUGCGGCGUUUGUGCUGCGCUAACCAGAAGAAGAUUGAGGAUUUUUUCAUUAACUGUGCUGUGUGUGCUGUGUUCAAUCGCGUGAGCGGUGCGAGCAUCACCAUCAACGUCGGGUCGUUCUUCCUGUAGCGUUUGUGCUGGACCUUUUCUUUUAAUAAAUAUGUAAUGUUGAAUCAGAUCUAGCAUUUUAUCUAUUAUUUUUUUUUUCGAUGAAACCAAGCGUUUUGAUAUUCCUAUUGCAAAGGUAUGUUAUUUUUGCUCAGAUUUAAUUACAAUUUACGAGUUUUUCACAAUAACAAUAUUUCAGAAUAACGAACGAUUUUCACGAGUGUGAUGAAAUGCGUUAUAUCGAGAUUUGACUGUACUCACCUAUUGUUUGUUUUAUCCCACAAUAUAAAAGCCGCAAUCUACUGCCGUACAAUAUUAAAGGGCCAAAGUAUGCACACACACGAGAUAAAUCUGUCACCUUUUCUCUCCAUAUUCUUUGUUACAUUAGUAUUCUUGAAAUGUACCAACCACCCCAUCUACCUAUUGCCUUACUCCUCUGUUGUGGUGUCUGGUAGCUUCUUGCUGCCAUUUUUCUGCACCACUUCUUACUGUUCAGAUAUCUUUAGUUUUAUCAACGGGCUGCACCUGGGAUAUCUUCUCUAGGAGGAGGUAAGGUCGUCAGACUUAUGUCUUUUCAUUAUUUAUCUUUCACAAUAAAAUUUCGCAGUUCCUUCGAGCAACUUGAAAUUACACUCCUGUACAUAAUUUGGAUGCGGUACGGGGGCCAAGGUUUUUGGCAAAAGAAGAUCCUGCUUUUUUGUUCAAUACGUUGCUUUGUUGUAAUUCCAUCACAAUGAAGACAAUUGAAUUUCUCAUGUUCAAUGGUGAAAUUUUUCUUCCCAGACGAAGAUCGACGACGGCACAGCUCAGCUGGAGGAAUAUCGGGACCUACAAGAAUUGCAUGAACCAGCAGGGACGUCCAGUCAUCCAGCAGGCGAUAUCGUCAACCGGCACGACCCAAGCAGUCCUUUCCUCACCUGGAACCCCACUGGCGAGUUCUGCAGGACGGCGACUGCCCAGGCGAAAGAGGGCAAGCGCCGGUGUCGCUUCUGCCCCUACACCACCGACUACUCGGCGAGCAUUAUCGUUCACGAAAGGACGCACACGGGUGAGAAGCCAUACCCCUGCCGGUUCUGCGGGAAGGCGUUUGCGCAAAGCAGCGACCUGACGGCCCACGAGAGGAUUCACACGGAUGAGAGGCCCUACGAGUGCGACGUCUGCGGGAAAGGGUUCCGGACCUCGACUCACCUGACGAGGCACAGGAGGACGCACCUGGGGGGCGGUCUCCCCGCCUGCCGGUAGUGCGGGAAUGAGUUAGAUGCGGGUCCACCUGGUUCAGCACGGUUCUCUGAAGGCACAAUCACGCGCUUGUGUUCUCUUAGGGUCGAGUUCUCGUGACCCCUUACUACUAGAGAACAGACUGGCACUAUCUGUGACGUGGUCCUGGAACUGCGUUUGACUAGAGCAAAGUUUGGUGACAUUUGCGAGAUCAAAUGAGAAAUGGUGACUUCUAGCAUAGUCAAAAGUUUUUCAAACUAAAAGAGUAAGAAAGAUGUAAAAACAAAAAGAAAAUAUACGGAAACUUAAAUUGUUCCACUGCUAAAGAGGUUUUAAGACACGGUCAUAAGCAGUUGUGUGUGAACCAGCCUUAACAGCACGCUUAGUCCUGUGGGCGUUCGCAGCCUAUCAUGAAGUCCCCAAAUAUGUGAAUGUCUGUCAGACCGUCUGUGUUAUGUUCCUUGUCGUUCUAUGCGUGGCAGCUGGUGGGACCUAGAACCAUUGCAUGUGACAGCCAGUUGAGCACAAAUGUUUUUAAUCGUCUCCCCAAAUAAAGUGAUUUCCCUGCCUAAUUUCUA